rnacentral:antisense_RNA from 1 species
CUUGACCGAGCCGAGCCACAGCGGCGCCUGCCCGGCCCGUUCCUGCCCGUACGUGGCCAGCAGCGCCCCCGCCUC